rnacentral:rRNA from 1 species
GUACGGACCGGUCGUUCCGUUCCUUUUUUUUGGGGGUGGGGGUUAGUGGCGAACGGGUGAGUAACACGUGAGUAACCUGCCCCUCACUUCUGGAUAACCGCUUGAAAGGGUGGCUAAUACGGGGUGUUCUGGCCUGCUCGCAUGGGUGGGUUUGGAAAGAUUCGACCGUUUUGGUUGUUUUGGUGGGGGAUGGGCUCGCGGCCUAUCAGCUUGUUGGUGGGGUGAUGGCCUGCCAAGGCUUUGACGGGUAGCCGGCCUGAGAGGGUGGACGGUCACACUGGGACUGAGACACGGCCCAGACUCCUACGGGAGGCAGCAGUGGGGAAUAUUGCACAAUGGGCGCAAGCCUGAUGCAGCGACGCCGCGUGAGGGAUGGAGGCCUUCGGGUUGUGAACCUCUUUCGCCAGUGAAGCAGGCCUGCCUCGUUUGUGGGUGGGUUGACGGUAGCUGGAUAAGAAGCGCCGGCUAACUAC